AGUCUCAACAUUGGUGAGCAUCCAUCUUGACUGAAAGCCUCAGCACUGCAAGAACUGCCCUGUCUCUUUCGACCAAGUCUGCUAGUUUAUCCAAAAGUUGGCCUCUUUCUGAUGCGUCCAUCCUCCUCCAAACUGAACCUAGAGAAAAAGCAAGGCGAGCUGCUCUCACCGCUUUGUCUGUAUCAACCUAUCAAGAAAGAAGAAAUAACAAAUAAAGAUUUAGAAGAAGAAGAAUUAGAGUAAAUACUUCAGAUAAGAUGUGGGCAUGACCUAUUUGGUAUGAAGUUAGAGUUGAAGCAGGGAAAAGCCCACAGUGUGCCAUCCAUCUAUGUGCUGCAUGGUACUGCCACUGGUUAAACACUCAGCCCUGUGUGUCCAUGCACGGUGUGCCUGGAGUGUUGGCCUGCCAAUAACUUUCUGAAGGUAAACCAUUAGGAAAAUACAAGGGAUAAGCAGUCAGAAAGAAACUGAUGUCUACAAAACGAGGCUGAACAAUAUACUCUGCAAUGCAGUGGUAACAAAACGUACAGUGGAAAACCUUCUCAAAUGAUGUGUGAGGGAAACGAUGAUCUGCAUUCUUAAUUCACUAUUGCUUAGUGAUGAUGUCACCAGACGCUCUUCAGGCUCCCCAGCUGUAUAAGUAUGUCCUGCACAAAAUCCAGCCCGCCAGACAGCAAUGCUACCUUUUCCUCUUUUGGCUUCUCACUGUGCCACAUGCUGAUGUAGCAUCCAUUAUUUCAAUUUAGCCUCAUUAAAGGGAUUACUUCGCAUCUGGUUGUUCAAGAAAAUUCAUCUAAAAAGAGGAAAGUUCAGACUGUAUUUUCUGUUGAACUAAAGCCACCACAAACACUUCACUCAUCCGGCUGUCCCCUUCAACCUGUGGAAAAAACUCUUCUACUUACAGCACAUGAAGACUAUAAAGUAUUUUCUGCUUUUCAAAGAAACUUUAAAGCAAUUCCUACUUUUUUAGGUUAAUGAAGAAUUUCUGUGCUGUUAGUGGCAAAGUACAGAAGCAACAACAUUUAUCCUGCAGCUCACGUAACGUUUCAUGUAUCCCUAUGGAACCAACUCCAAGCUUCCCUCAUCCUUUCACUUUUUGCUGUCUUGCUCUGCACUGCAUUCAAAAACAUUCAUUUCUGAAGAUGGGAUGCCACCAGAAUGAAGUAUGCUCCAGGUUUCCACUGAUAACAACGAAAAAGCAAUCACUGAAUGACCUGGGCAAGGACCGCAGUGGUUUUUAUGGAGUGUGAUCCCUGAUGGCAUUUACUGCAACUUGAAAAUGAAUCAAUGAAACAUUUCUAACAAAUCCAUUAAAUCAGGAGAGAAGGGGAGGGUGUCUUUGUUUACAGGAUCAAUGAUUGAGCUGUCAGUGGGCUUUAAUGAAGUUGUGGCUAUUAAGAACUUGAUCCUGGAAACUUCCACAAGCGCUCAUUUAAGACUGUGGGAAUGAGGAGGGGUUUGUACAAACAAGGUUAUAUUAGUCUGUAGCUUUCCUGUGCUUUGCAUCAGCUGUGCUUUGCUGGACUCAUGCACUCCUUUUGCACAACACAAACCAGGGCAAUCUCUCUAUUUGUACGCAGGAGACAUAUUCUUCCAUUUAAGAAUGCAGCAGAUUAUUUAUAGGUAACCGUUUGCUUUUUUAUAUGUUCAUCACCAAAGAGCACUCCCAGAUAAGCUAUGCUGUAUAAAUAUAUUCUCCCAGAAUUAAAGACACAGCAGGCAACACACACAAAAAAAAAUACACCAGGCAAAUACAUUCUGACUUAAAAGCUCCAUUUGGGAAAAUUACCUUACACGUGAGAAAUUGCUGGAAUGUCAACUUCAUUUGCAGUGGCCCCUUAUGGCCUGAUCACCCUCCCUGGCACGAUAAAUCACUGGCAAGAUCCUUACCUUAACACGUUUGAUCUCAGCUCAGCAAGACUUGGUUUUGAUGUGAAGAACUCCAGAUCUGUUAGGUCAGAGACAAAUAGCAGAGCCACUGACCUGCAAAGUGCUAACUCUAUAUUAGACCCAAGUGAGCAGCAAUAAGCUCCUGGGAAGUUCGCCUUAGUUUCUACUUUUUAUUUUGAAUAUCCCCAAAAACUGCACUUAGAAGGCUUUGCUAAAUGAUGCCAGCGAUGUUUCCUUCCGUGUCAUUAUGUACAAAACCAAAAUCAACUGAGGUCAAACAAACAAAUGAGCAGGCAGUAUGAGAAGCAUUAUUUGUAUGAACUCAGAGCUACCUGCACAACUGAGCUACGUGAAAUCAAACUCAGUACUUAUCACUUUCUUAUUUGAUUUACACAAAUGGUUUGCACUAGCCCUUUUCUACCUGUGCCAUCCUUACUAAGAGGCAGCAUAAACAACCAUUUUCACCAGUACAUUCCUUUAGGUGACUGCAAGUGCCUGUAUGUGCACAUCUUUACACACAACUUCAAAUUACUCCUGCACAAAAGUAAGUUUGUGCUCAAGUCUGAAUGUCCACACCAUGCUCAGUCUGCAGCCUUGGUCUGAGGCUAUUCCUUAUUAUCCUGGUUAAACAGUCACUUAUCUCUAGGAUAGUAAGCAGGAGUGUUAGUCUACCAGAAAAUUGGAUGUUCUUAAUGGGCUUUUGGGGGAGAAUAGCUUUGCAUCAUCAGCAUUAAGUUAAAUCACAUUAAGUACCUACUUACAACAUAGGGAUUACCACUUAUGACAUCUUUGGUGAAAGCCUUUAAAACAAAUUGUGUUUGUUAGAAGAAGCUCUGAGAUAACAAUUCCCAGAAGUCUGAUUUAUAAACCUUUUUGCUCUUCAGGAAGAUGCAAAGGAACACUACACCUCUUCUCUUAUUCAAUACUGCAACAAAAACUCUCAGGCUGUUAAUUCUUUUCAGUGCAGGCGCUUGAAAAACCUUGAUUUAUUUACUUGAGGUUAUUCCUCUGGAGAAAAGAAACCUUUAGCAAGAUUCCCUGGCCUCAGAGUUUCGUUCUGAUUUCUCUUUCAGUUCUUUCUGCUGGUUGGCCACUGACUUUACUUACAGCAAACUGGAAAAGGCCAUUAUACUUUUUAUUAUGCAUAAGGCUGAUUGGGGAGAACUGGGCUUAAGCUGUCAAAGCACCCUGCUGUGCUUGGAUACCUGACAAAUUUACACCCUGAGGUACGCUGUGGUGCUAAGACUAAAAUUGGAUGUGUUCUUGCAAGAGCUGAUUAGAGCUGAUUACAGUCCCAAGCAAAUAAACCACUUCGGGGUGUAGCAAAACACUGCCAACGUUUAACAUUUUUAUGUAUGAUUGACAAGUUAUUCCAUAUAGAAACAGAGGCCUGCGUGAAAAAUGAUCUCUUCUAUUUACUUUUAAAUAGAAGCAGACCAGUAACUCAGAGCAUGUAAAUUAAAAACAUGACCCUCACCUUAUGCCAAACAUGUAGUUCUAAAAAUGUGGACUAAGGCAAAAACAAAACCUACCUAGACAGAGAUUUCCUUAAAUGAGCAAAGUACAUUAAAAGUAAGUCUUGUCAAUAAAAAGCCUUCCUU